UGGCUUCAGCAGCGGAACACGUCUGGCACUGCGGGAUUUGAUUCCCUGCCGUUGUAGUGUGUUACUGAUGGUGACCUUUGUUACUUUGGUCCCAGCUCUCUGCAGGUCAUUCACCAGGUCCCCCCGUGUGGUUCUGGGAUCUUUGCUCACCGUUCUCAUGAUCAUUUUGACCCCACGGGAUGAGAUCUUGCGUGGAGCCCCAGAUCGAGGGAGAUUAUCAGUGGUCUUGUAUGUCUUCCAUUUUCUGAUGAUUGCUCCCACAGUUGAUUUUUUCACACCAAGCUGCUUGCCUAUUGUAGAUUCACUCUUCCCAGUCUGGUGCAGGUCUACAAUACUUUUCCUGGUGUCCUUCGAAAGCUCUUUGGUCUUGGCCAUGGCAGAGUUUGGAGUCUGACUGUUUGAGGCUGUGGACAGGUGUCUUUUAUACAGAUGAUGAGUUCAAACAGGUGCCAUUCAUACAGGUAACGAGUGGGGGACAGAAAAGCUUCUUACAGAAGACGUUACAGGUCUGUGAGAGCCAGAGAUUUUCCUUGUUUGAGGUGACCAAAUACUUAUUUUCCACCCUGAUUUACGAAUAAAUUCUUUACAAAUCCUACCAUGUGGAUUCAUGGAUUUUUUUUUUC
ensembl:lncRNA